rnacentral:lncRNA from 1 species
ACAGCAUGAAAGUGACAGGAGAAGGAUGUGUCUACCUCCAGACAUCCUUGAAAUACAAUAUUCUCCCAGAAAAGGAAGAGUUCCCCUUUGCUUUAGGAGUGCAGACUCUGCCUCAAACUUGUGAUGAACCCAAAGCCCACACCAGCUUCCAAAUCUCCCUAAGUGUCAGUUACACAGGGAGCCGCUCUGCCUCCAACAUGGCGAUCGUUGAUGUGAAGAUGGUCUCUGGCUUCAUUCCCCUGAAGCCAACAGUGAAAAUGGUAGAUCUAACCAUGUGAGCCGGACAGAAGUCAGCAGCAACCAUGUCUUGAUUUACCUUGAUAAGGUGUCAAAUCAGACACUGAGCUUGUUCUUCACGGUUCUGCAAGAUGUCCCAGUAAGAGAUCUGAAACCAGCCAUAGUGAAAGUCUAUGAUUACUACGAGACGGAUGAGUUUGCAAUUGCUGAGUACAAUGCUCCUUGCAGCAAAGAUCUUGGAAAUGCUUGAAGACCACAAGGCUGAAAAGUGCUUUGCUGGAGUCCUGUUCUCAGAGCUCCACAGAAGACACGUGUUUUUGUAUCUUUAAAGACUUGAUGAAUAAACACUUUUU